CCUUUUGUAUAAUGGGUCAGCGACUUAUAUUCUGUAGCAAGGUUAACCGAAUAGGGGAGCCGAAGGGAAACCGAGUCUUAACUGGGCGUUAAGUUGCAGGGUAUAGACCCGAAACCCGGUGAUCUAGCCAUGGGCAGGUUGAAGGUUGGGUAACACUAACUGGAGGACCGAACCGACUAAUGUUGAAAAAUUAGCGGAUGACUUGUGGCUGGGGGUGAAAGGCCAAUCAAACCGGGAGAUAGCUGGUUCUCCCCGAAAGCUAUUUAGGUAGCGCCUCGUGAAUUCAUCUCCGGGGGUAGAGCACUGUUUCGGCAAGGGGGUCAUCCCGACUUACCAACCCGAUGCAAACUGCGAAUACCGGAGAAUGUUAUCACGGGAGACACACGGCGGGUGCUAACGUCCGUCGUGAAGAGGGAAACAACCCAGACCGCCAGCUAAGGUCCCAAAGUCAUGGUUAAGUGGGAAACGAUGUGGGAAGGCCCAGACAGCCAGGAUGUUGGCUUAGAAGCAGCCAUCAUUUAAAGAAAGCGUAAUAGCUCACUGGUCGAGUCGGCCUGCGCGGAAGAUGUAACGGGGCUAAACCAUGCACCGAAGCUGCGGCAGCGACGCUUAUGCGUUGUUGGGUAGGGGAGCGUUCUGUAAGCCUGUGAAGGUGUGCUGUGAGGCAUGCUGGAGGUAUCAGAAGUGCGAAUGCUGACAUAAGUAACGAUAAAGCGGGUGAAAAGCCCGCUCGCCGGAAGACCAAGGGUUCCUGUCCAACGUUAAUCGGGGCAGGGUGAGUCGACCCCUAAGGCGAGGCCGAAAGGCGUAGUCGAUGGGAAACAGGUUAAUAUUCCUGUACUUGGUGUUACUGCGAAGGGGGGACGGAGAAGGCUAUGUUGACCGGGCGACGGUUGUCCCGGUUUAAGCGUGUAGGCUGGUUUUCCAGGCAAAUCCGGAAAAUCAAGGCUGAGGCGUGAUGACGAGGCACUACGGUGCUGAAGCAACAAAUGCCCUGCUUCCAGGAAAAGCCUCUAAGCAUCAGGUAACAUCAAAUCGUACCCCAAACCGACACAGGUGGUCAGGUAGAGAAUACCAAGGCGCUUGAGAGAACUCGGGUGAAGGAACUAGGCAAAAUGGUGCCGUAACUUCGGGAGAAGGCACGCUGAUAUGUAGGUGAAGCGACUUGCUCGUGGAGCUGAAAUCAGUCGAAGAUACCAGCUGGCUGCAACUGUUUAUUAAAAACACAGCACUGUGCAAACACGAAAGUGGACGUAUACGGUGUGACGCCUGCCCGGUGCCGGAAGGUUAAUUGAUGGGGUCAGCGCAAGCGAAGCUCUUGAUCGAAGCCCCGGUAAACGGCGGCCGUAACUAUAACGGUCCUAAGGUAGCGAAAUUCCUUGUCGGGUAAGUUCCGACCUGCACGAAUGGCGUAAUGAUGGCCAGGCUGUCUCCACCCGAGACUCAGUGAAAUUGAACUCGCUGUGAAGAUGCAGUGUACCCGCGGCAAGACGGAAAGACCCCGUGAACCUUUACUAUAGCUUGACACUGAACAUUGAGCCUUGAUGUGUAGGAUAGGUGGGAGGCUUUGAAGUGUGGACGCCAGUCUGCAUGGAGCCGACCUUGAAAUACCACCCUUUAAUGU
rnacentral:rRNA from 1 species